GACAGAGGGGGCAAGCGUUGUCCGGCGUUACUGGGCGGAAAGGGCGCGGAGGCUGCCUGCGGCGGCGGCGCUGAAAGCGCACCGCUUAAAGGGGCGAGGCGUGCCGAUACGCGCAGGCUCGAGGCGUGCAGAGGGUGGUGCAAUUCCGGGUGGGGCGGUGUAAUGCGUAGAGAUCCGGAGGAACGCCAGUGGGGAAUCCGGCCACCUGGGCUCGGCCUGACUCUGCGGCGCGACAGCGUGGUGAGCAAACCGG
rnacentral:rRNA from 1 species